ACUACUAGUCAGUCAAUGGAGGUUUCUGUUUAUCAACCAUUUGGAAUAUAUCAUAGGACAUACAGUGGAACAGUAAGGGAAUUACCUGAAAAAAUUGUUUCAGAUCCACACAUCACUCACAACAUAUUAAGUAUAGAGACUCAGCAAACUGCAAGUGUCAAAGAUAUGUUACAGACACAUAGGAGGCAAUCUAGCAACUACAAACCAAGAAGUCAACCAGAUAUUGGAGAAGUUUUUGGUUCUAGAAAUGAAAAGGUGGUUGAAAUUGAAUCUGAAGGACUUGGAACCCAAGUUAGUGAUUCAGAAGAUAUUCAGGUAGUAGCAGAUAUAGGUGGUAAGAAAGAUAAAUGUGACAGUCAUAAUUAUUUACAUGAUACAAAGACUGAGCUCUCAGUAGUGGCUAAGGAAGAAGGAAACACAACUGCUGAAGUUACAUGUAAACAAUCUGAGCAGAGGGAAAUAACCAUUCUCACAGUUGUAAAAUGUGUUCCCAUGCCCACUUCAGAAAGUUCCCAGACUUCUUCAUUGGAUGAAACUUCAACUAUUACCAAAGAAGACAAAGGAUCUGACAAAAGAGAAUCUGAUUCAGAUGUAGAAGUGGAAAUUCUUGUGGAGAAAUCAGAGCUACAAGUGACAGAAAGUAUGUACCAUUCUGAAGACAAACUACUGUUAGAUGAAGAUUAUGAAGAAAGCAAAUCUCUCUUAGAAGAAGAGUCUGAAGAUUACAAAGAUAGCAAGCUAAUGAUGUGGUUUGAAUGUGAGGAGGAGAUGCCAAUGUGGCAUGAUACUGAGAAGACUUUUCAGACGUGGCAUGAAUCAGAGGUGACAGCUGUGAGUGAGAGAAUGAAAUUUGUAAUUCAGUGUGCAGUUUGUGAGAAGGCUGCAAAGGUCAAAUGCUCUGGGUGCCUCAUCACGUGCUACUGUAGUGCUGAAUGUCAGCUAGAGGAUUGGAAUACUGCACACCAUACUGUGUGCUGUGCUGAUCUGGAUGGAUGAUAUCUUCUGGAUUCAUACAAAGUCGCAAAGAAUAAAAGUCAAUAAAUGGAGAUUAGAAUUGAAUUGAAGUAUACUUUUGAACAAGAGGACAGUUCUGUGAAUUAAACAGUAUUAAGAUUAAAAUAUAAAGCAACCCAUUGAUAAUUUUUAAUAAUCCUGUCAUCUGUAAGCAACAAUACAUUGUGUGUGUGUGACCACAGCAAACAAAAGAGUUCAGCAUUUCUUGUUUGUGACUAAGGGAAAAAGGUGACAAUAUAAAGUCCACUGUUGGUGUAAAUGAGAAAUUAAGAACAAAAUGUAAUGUUAUAGAGUGGGUUAUCCUGAGAAAGGUUAGAAUAAGACUGAAAUAUACAGUCAUAGUGACAUGUUUGCCUUCCCAUGAGAGUCCAUCAUGUAUGUGUAAUAAGAGUUUUUAUGAUAAGGCUGUGAUUGUAACUAUUAGGUCACUUAAAAUAUCUUUCUGAAUGCUCAUUUUAAAGCUUUCUGAAAUCCAGUCAACAAUUUGUGCAUGACAAAGACAAUUUCUGAUACACAGAAGAGAUUAGCCUAUAGAAUACUGUUUAAUGAUUAGGAAUAUUUUUAAGAUUUCAGGGUUGUUGCAAAUAUGUUGCUUGUUUCAUAAUUUAGGUAAUGUUUUUAAUUUCAUAAUUUAUAAUAAGUACCUAUAUUUUUAUUUUUAAAAGUGUGAUAUAGAAAUGAAGUCCAUUUUCAUUAGUUUUGAUUGCUUCAGUCAAAAUUUAUACUGUGCGUGGUAGGUAGGGACACAGAUGCAUACAUCAUAUUCACAAUAGAUUUUCUAACCCUUUGCUGCAACAUUUAAAUUCAUAUAUUUUGAUAGCUAACCAUUUGAUUUAAAUGGGCUUAGACCUUGUUUAUAGAAGUUUCUAUAAAGAGUUCAUUUAUGAAAACAUUAAUUUCUAUUAACAGUUUCUUGCUCAAGGAUACUGGGGAAUUACCUGUUCAAUGUGAAAAGUAAAUGGAUGAAUUAUUUAAUAAAAGUAGUUAACCACCAAUAACGUUUUAUUUAGAAUCUUACAUUUGCAUCUGCGAGCAACAGUUCAUUAUAGCCAGAUGAUCAGCAUGUAAAUACAUUCACUAUUAGAACAAGCCUUAGUUUUAAGAAGCAAAAGUUUCUUUUCAUUGGAGGAUCAAGAGCUGUUGCUAGUCUAUGAUUUACUACAAUUCUUAAUUUCUAACCUCAGAAACUUUGUUUCAGCAUUGACAUUUCUGUCUAUAAAUAUUUAUGGGGGUGGGGUGAAUCAUGAUCCAGCCUUUUAUAAGUUCAAAUUUAAAUUAUGUUUACUGCAAUAGUUCCUAUUUUUGUGACACAAGACGUAGGGGAUUAAAUCUGCGUAUCAUGGGACUGCCUGCUGGUCAUUAACAGUGGGGGUAAAGGCUAUCUGUAUAUUAAUUACAUGGUCACCUGGAUGAAACAUAAGAUGUGAUUCAUGGACAAUAAGGUUAACCAAUUAAGUAUGACUAUUGUUUAGUUAGAGAUGGUUGAACCGAUAAUUCAACAGUAUUUUAUUGCAUUUAUUGAGUAAUAAGAUUUUUAUUGUAUAUUAUUCAUUAGUUGCUCAGAAUUACAUGUAGUUUUGUUGCUUUCUGCACUGCUCACUAAUCAAGUUGCUCACAGGAAUACUGAAGUGUUCAGCGUCCUCUAAUGUUAAAAAAAUUCUAACAUUGCACGUGCCUGCAAUGUUUCUGUGGCACCUGUACUCAUACUAUAAUGUUUUAUUUUAUUUUCUUUGAAACUCCAUAUAGAAACAGUUUAGUACUAUUGAAGGUAUUGUCUUUUUAGUAUGUUGGAAGCCUUAGAGUUUGUGUGAAGUUUUGUUCAUUUUUCUUGUGGCAUGGGAACUUAAUCUUUAGAGAGUGAUACUGAAAUUGACUGAGCUUUUGUAGUGCCAGUUUUGUCUUUGUCCAGCAGCGUGAGAACAUCAGUUGUGACUUUGUGGCAGGUAAGUUGUUCAAGGAGACUUUCACCAUUAGAUUUACUACUAAUCCAGGUAUUUGGAAAAUGGAGGGGUGAAUAAUAUGUAAUAUAAACGAGAUUAUUUUGUAAUUUUAACUUUUGUAGAUGGUACUCAUUCUAGUAAAUUAAGAUUCAGAUCUUGGCUGAUGUUAAUAGUGAUAAUAAUUUUAAUUAAGACACAGGAACAGUAGAGUAUCUACUUUGUAGAUUUAAGAUUCAUUAUCAUCUUUAGUCUCUGGAUCCUGGGUUGUAAACACACUAUCUGUUUAUCUAUUUAAUAUACAGGUAGGUCAUAUACAAUUAUGUGCAGAUAAUUAUUUUCUUUAUAAUUGGUUUAGAUAUAACAUGUUUUUGAAUCUUAGAACAGAAAUGUAGGCCUGAAUUUUUGUCAUGCAUGAUGAUAAAAUUAGGUUAACUUCUUUAAAUCACUGCAAUUUUUUGAAGCAUUUAAGUGAAUUUUCAUACCUCUCAGUUUUAUUGUGACAAAUGGCAUGAUUUUCACAUGUUCAUCUUCACACUCCAUUAUAUUUAGGUUUUCUUCUCCAACUGUGAAUAUAAGCUUGUUGUGUUUCUUUGGUAUUUAUAUGUUUUAUUAAAUAUUUCUUAUUUGAUCUUUAGUUCCUGUUACAGAUAUUGUUUAGUUAUUACUAGUGUAGUUAUAAAAUACUUGACACCAUGGCUGUUGCUAUCCAUGAAUGGAUGAUUUGUGUGCGUGCGCACAUUUAGAAUCCCUGGUUGCCUUUCUAUUGUCUUUUUGUGAUGUAGUAUAGCAGUAUUGUAUGUCUGUGCAUUUAAUAAAACUAAAAUUCACUAAUAUCUUCUGAAUGGUUCAGGCACCCUUUGUGAUGCAGAGGCAGACAGACAUUGCUAAUUGUACAAAUUGUGGGUGUCAAAAAAAUUUGCACAUGAAUUAAAUCUCGAUAUAAUCUUUCUUCAUAAUUAUAAUGCUUUAUAUUAUGUGUAUGAGGAGGUGAAGAAGUUUUCAUAUAAAUGUAUGGUCUAAUGUAUCAUCAAAUUGAAGUGUCAUGCUACACUUCAUUGUGUUCAUUUCAUCAGUUGGUUGCUAAAAUUGUCAUUAGCACCAUGAUGUACUAAAAUUUCAAAAUAAUUGCAUUCAUUGAUUGUAUUUUCAUGUAUUCAUUUUGUGUUUAAACUAGUACUGUAAAAUAUCUCACAUUAUGUACAUCUUAUAUUUUGUACUUUUAUAUGUAAAUUAAAUUGAACGAAGUAUUGUGCUAAUAGUUUAUUAAGUAAACUAUGUCACAUACAUUGUAAAAGUGAAGUGAGUGUCCAUUAUUUGUCUGAACCAGUCAUAACAUUGAAGCAAUAUGGAGAUUAUAAAGUACCAUGUAUUUCUUUCAUACUAGUUA